ensembl:misc_RNA Y_RNA Y RNA
GGCUGGUCAGAGUGUAAUGGUUUUUUACAAGUAAUUGAUCACAGCCAGUUACAGAUUUCUUCGUUCCUUCUCCACUCCCACUGCUUCUUCACUUGACUAGCCUUAA